ACUGCUCAGUAACACGUGGAUAACCUGCCCUUGGGUCCGGCAUAACUCCGGGAAACUGGAGAUAAUUCCGGAUAACGCAUAUAUGCUGGAAUGCUUUAUGCGUAAAAUGGAUUCGUCUGCCCAAGGAUGGGUCUGCGGCCUAUCAGGUAGUAGUGGGUGUAAUGUACCUACUAGCCUGCGACGGGUACGGGUUGUGAGAGCAAGAGCCCGGAGAUGGAUUCUGAGACAUGAAUCCAGGCCCUACGGGGCGCAGCAGGCGCGAAAACUUUACAAUGCGGGAAACCGUGAUAAGGGGACACCGAGUGCCAGCAUCAUAUGCUGGCUGUCCAGGUGUGUAAAAUACACCUGUUAGCAAGGGCCGGGCAAGACCGGUGCCAGCCGCCGCGGUAACACCGGCGGCCCGAGUGGUGAUCGUGAUUAUUGGGUCUAAAGGGUCCGUAGCCGGUUUGGUCAGUCCUCCGGGAAAUCUGAUAGCUCAACUAUUAGGCUUUCGGAGGAUACUGCCAGACUUGGAACCGGGAGAGGUAAGAGGUACUACAGGGGUAGGAGUGAAAUCUUGUAAUCCCUGUGGGACCACCUGUGGCGAAGGCGUCUUACCAGAACGGGUUCGACGGUGAGGGACGAAAGCUGGGGGCACGAACCGGAUUAGAUACCCGGGUAGUCCCAGCCGUAAACGAUGCUCGCUAGGUGUCAGGCAUGGCGCGACCGUGUCUGGUGCCGCAGGGAAGCCGUGAAGCGAGCCACCUGGGAAGUACGGCCGCAAGGCUGAAACUUAAAGGAAUUGGCGGGGGAGCAC
rnacentral:rRNA from 2 species